UACGUAGGGUGCAAGCGUUAAUCGGAAUUACUGGGCGUAAAGCGUGCGCAGGCGGUUAUAUAAGACAGUUGUGAAAUCCCCGGGCUCAACCUGGGAAUUGCGAUGGAGACUGCAAGGCUAGAAUCUGGCAGAGGGGGGUAGAAUUCCACGUGUAGCAGUGAAAUGCGUAGAGAUGUGGAGGAACACCGAUGGCGAAGGCAGCCCCCUGGGUCAAGAUUGACGCUCAUGCACGAAAGCGUGGGGAGCAAACAGG
rnacentral:rRNA from 1 species